ACGCAUAAUCAUAAUGGCUGGUCAUUGGCGAUCGUUUGUGAAGAAAUGAAUAACAAUCGUAUGGUAAUGAAACUGAACUGGGUCUGGGAGACUGAUAAGUUUUGUGCGAGAAGUGGUCGAUAUUCAAAUCCAGGAUGUAUCAAUAAAGCACUGAAGGAUAAUGUGCGAUGGGGGAACCGUUUCAGAUUGUGUGAAUGAUUGAAACCUGAUGAAAUAACAUUUAGGCCUAAAAAAGAAAAAUGUUGUGGUACUGGUAACAUGAUUGCCAAAAUUGCUAGGCAGAAUUGAAGAAUCAGUGUCAGAUUAUCUUCACUUGAUAACAUAAAGGUUCGGACAUGAGCCAGGGUUGCAUUGAAUGAGGAAAAAUGUUUGUGCUGCGUUGAGCCAUGGUUUACACCAAAGUACAGAUUUUGAUGCUGUGAAAGGUUACAAUAGUGCAUUUAGAAAAGGUAUUCCAUGGCUUGAAAUAUUGGACGUAUUGGCGAAAAGUGAUUCAACAUCCCUUCAAACGUACAAAGUGUAGGUGAAAUGUGCAAUUAGAAGAAUACAGACUUUCAGUUAGAUGGGAAAAAGUCUAUUUAUUUGACAAAACAUAUUUCAAGCUAUUCACAAAGUAACAGUAAAUGUAAACAAAGUGUUCCAAAUUGGCUUGAAAUAAUGGAUGUAUUGUCGAAAACUAAUUCAACAUACCUUCAAGGUGUAGAAAUUAUGUGCAAUUAGAAGAAUGCAAACUAAGGGUGUAACCAUACCAUACGUUAGUUUCACAGUACAAUACAUAUCGGGAUACAGAUACAACAAUAUGGUACAUAUUGCGAUACAAUUUGAGUAUCAUACAUAAGCAUUUA